UGCUUCGGUAACUGAGCUAGCGGCGGACGGGUGAGUAAUGCUUAGGAAUCUGCCUAUUAGUGGGGGACAACAUUCCGAAAGGGAUGCUAAUACCGCAUACGUCCUACGGGAGAAAGCAGGGGCUCUUUAUGACCUUGCGCUAAUAGAUGAGCCUAAGUCGGAUUAGCUAGUUGGUGGGGUAAAGGCCUACCAAGGCGACGAUCUGUAGCGGGUCUGAAAGGAUGAUCCGCCACACUGGGACUGAGACACGGCCCAGACUCCUACGGGAGGCAGCAGUGGGGAAUAUUGGACAAUGGGGGGAACCCUGAUCCAGCCAUGCCGCGUGUGUGAAGAAGGCCUUUUGGUUGUAAAGCACUUUAAGUGGGGAGGAGGCUUACCUGGUUAAUACCUGGGCUAAGUGGACGUUACCCACAGAAUAAGCACCGGCUAACUCUGUGCCAGCAGCCGCCGUAAUACAGAGGGUGCGAGCGUUAAUCGGAUUUACUGGGCGUAAAGCGCGCGUAGGUG
rnacentral:rRNA from 1 species